CCUUUAACAUGUAAAUCAGACGCGUUCGGUGUGAACGCAGCAUCAGGCUCACAAUCAACAUGGAUCUCAGAGAUCAGACGCUGUAACUGUCACAGUUCAUCAUGGUGCUGGUAGGAAUGUGAUUGUGAUCGCAGCGACAUCUGGAGGAUUAUUCAUCAUCAUCACCAUCAUCAUCAUCAUCAUCAUAUUUACAAUUCGGAAGAAAAGGAUAAACAGAAGAUCUAUAAAUGAGUACGAGGUGAGAUGAUCAAAGAAUCACAGAAAAUAGUACUAAAAGAAUAAAAUUAGCUUUUUUAUAUAUUUAGAAUUUUUUUUAUGGCUGGUCCAACUUGUGUUCAAGUCAUAUCACAUCAUAUGUUGGGAAAUUAUGAGACUGCUCAAACAUCUCAUAGCAAACUGACAGACACUGAUUGAGAUGUGAACUCACAAUGUUUCAAUGUUUGUAUUGUAAGUCUUUCUCUCCGUUUCCCUGUAGAACGUUGAUCCCAGUGCAGGCACAUAUGCAGCUCUUGACCUCAAGUCCAGAUCAUCUGACCCCUACGACACACUCACAGUGCGUGAAGCACUUUGAGGGACAAGUUUACAGAUUAUGUAAAGUUUAGGUUUAAAAUCAUGAAUUGGUGCUUCUACAUCAGUGUUAUUCAUCUAUCAUUUCCCUCUGAUUUUUGGGAUAACUUAUGGGUAGGGUUAGGUUUAGGGGUAGGAAUAGGGUUAAGACUAAAUUGUCAGCCUGGAAUGUUGUUCCAGGAUCAACAAAAUAUGUUGACGUGCGUAAGUGAAAUAUCAAAAGCCACACAUGCAAAAGAGUUUGUGCAUUCAAAACUCAUGUAAUCUGUUAAAUCAUUUUCUCUGUCUGUCCCAGACAUUCAAACAUGUUCAUCACAAACAGCAUUACCAGCUUCACUUAUUACUAACCAGACUGACUUUAUUUCUGUCACAUUUUCUAUAGACUGUACUACACUCACAUUUGUAUCAAUUAAGUGGGCAGAACACAGACUGAUUUGAGGUUUGACUUACUAGUCAUACGGUGCAUAGCGUCUUAGAUAUGUUCUCUGAAAGAAGAUCCGCUCCUAUUCUGCUGGGGUGCAGGCCGUCAUCACGGAAGAGCCUGGGUCGCUCCCAGAAAAGAUUCCAAUUAUUUACAAAGAGCAGCUUCUGUUCAUUACACCAAGACAUUAACCAUUCAUCUAAAGCAAAUAAUCUACUGAACCUUUCAUGUCCUUGUCGUUACGUUGUAAGCAGUCCAGACACAAUGAUCCUCGUCGCGGGCGAUGUGCUGUGUACCGUCUCGAUCAGGCUCCUGAAGUCCUGCUUCAGAACCUCCAUCUGCCGCAGCCGGGUGUCGUUCACCCCAGACAUCGAGAACACGAGCACCAGGAAAACAGUGACUGCACCUUACCUUUAGCUGAGGUAGUGUGGACAUGAUGGACGAUUGAGUCUCCAAUGACCACAGCGUUGCAUCUCGUUUUGUGAAGAGAAUAGAAGCAGUUUCACGUGGAGAUGCCGAAGACCACGGGGUGGCGAAGGGGGAGAGGUCCGGUUCCAAGGCCUGGAUCACGCCUUCCACUGCUGAAGCACCCACGGUCCCUGGUGUGUCGGUGCCAGUGUGAACGAGGGCUGGGAAUAACGUGUUCUGGGUGCUCGGGCCCUGUGCAGAUAAACACACAGGGUAGAGGAACCAGGACUGUUAAUAUCACGCUGCAAACUUGCAGCGGAUUGGUAAGCGUCAGCCUGGGAUGUUUCCUGCGCUGUUUGUCAAUCCCGUAGCUCGGCCUGCUUCUCUAGUAGGUUGUGGAUCUGCUUCUCCACGGCCUCCAGCUCCAACUGCACCGCAUGCAGCUCGAACAUGUCCUCACCUACACUCAAAGGUAGAGACACAUCUGAUAGCUUCGCCAUUAGAAUAGAUGAAUAAUAAUGUGAGUGAGAAUUGCAAACAGCACAAAUGCUAGUGAGGACACACUACUAUUGCUAACGGGCUAAAGCUAGUAGCGGAUGUUUGGGAAGUCAGAUAAAACUAGCGAUAUCAAGGCAAUCUGACUGUUUUUUUUUAUAUAGGAAAAUGUCAGGGAUCUGUUCACCCGCUGUAAAAGGAAAAAAAAUAGGUUAUGAAUUUGAUUUUAAGAAGAAAAACAGACAAUUAGGAAUCAACUUGACGCAGCUCCAACCCAAACAGAUUGUCACCAUUGUUGAGGUUUGUAUGAAGAUUGCUGAUGUCUAAGUGUGUCAUUUUUAACUUUUAAAAGUUUGACAAUUUUACACAAAUCACUUGUGUUACAAAAAGUUAUCACAUCAUUUGAGUUUAUUAUUUCCUUCUCAUAUAACAUUUCAAUUCCAGAAGUAAGCAAAAAUAAAUAAAUAAAUGAACAGCUAUUUAAACCAAUUUAAUGCAGUCAUUUAUCUGUUAUUGAAACAGACAUGUUGAUCUGCUUUAUCAAUGCAGAAUUGUUUUCUGAAAACAUCUGCAAUUGCUGAAUAAGAAGCACCUCUACAAAAUUCAAGGGUGAAGAGCUCAACUAAAGCAAAUACUGAUCUCCAUUGUGGUGACCUCAAACUAAACAUUUUCAGUAAGACAUCAACAUCUAAACUUUUGUUAAUCUCAUUAAGAUCUUCUGUAGACAUGUGACAGAAAUA